rnacentral:rRNA from 1 species
AUUGAACGCUGGCGGCAGGCCUAACACAUGCAAGUCGAGCGGAUCGGCGGACGCGUGAGUAAUGCCUAUGAAUCUGCCUGUGCGUGGGGGAUAGCGUCCGGAAACGGGCGCUAAUACCGCAUACUAUCGGAUUAGCCUAGGUCGGAUUGGCUAGUUGGUGGGGUAAAGGCAUACCAAGGCGACGAGCCGGAGCUGGUCUGAGAGGAUGACCAGUCACACUGGAACUGAGACACGGUCCAGACUCCUACGGGAGGCAGCAGUGGGGAAUAUUGGACAAUGGGCGAAAGCCUGAUCCAGCCAUGCCGCGUGUGUGAAGAAGGCCUUCGGAUUGUAAAGCACUUUCAGUUGGGAGGCGUUACCCGCAGAAGAAGCACCGGCUAACUUCGUGCCAGCAGCCGCGGUAAUUC